UCCGGUUUGGCAUCGGCAGUCUUCCUAGAGUCCCCGCCAUUACGCGCUGGUAACUAAGAACAGGGGUUGCGCUCGUUGCGGGACUCAACCCAACAUCUCACGACACGAGCUGACGACAGCCAUGCAGCACCUGUGCAUGGAUCCCGAAGGAGGCUUCUGGUUUCUCAGAAGCUUCCCAUGCAUGUCAAGCCUAGGUAAGGUUUUUCGCGUUGCAUCGAAUUAAUCCACAUAAUCCACCGCUUGUGCGGGUCCCCGUCAAUUCCUUUGAGUUUUAGCCUUGCGGCCGUACUCCCCAGGCGGGGCGCUUAAUGCGUUAGCUGCGGCACGGAACUCGUGGAAUGAGUCCCACACCUAGCGCCCAACGUUUACGGUGUGGACUAC
rnacentral:misc_RNA from 1 species